rnacentral:misc_RNA from 1 species
CUGCCCUCCAGCCCGGCUGGUGUGUUGGGCCCCGCCCCCCUUCCCGGGGGGGCGGGCCCGAAAGGCAGCGGCGGCACCGCGUCCGGUCCUCGAGCGUAUGGGGCUUUGUCACCCGCUCUUGUAGGCCCGGCCGGUGCCAGCCGACCCCCUCAAUCUAUUUUUUCA